AUUGAACGCUGGCAGAAUGCUUUACACAUGCAAGUCGAACGGUAGAGGGGGCAACCCCUCGAGAGUGGCGAACGGGUGAGUAAUAUAUCGGAACGUGCCCAGUCGUGGGGGAUAACGUAGCGAAAGUUACGCUAAUACCGCAUAUGAUCUAAGGAUGAAAGCGGGGGAUCGCAAGACCUCGCGCGAUUGGAGCGGCCGAUAUCAGAUUAGGUAGUUGGGGGGGUAAAGGCUCACCAAGCCAACGAUCUGUAGCUGGUCUGAGAGGACGAACAGCCACACUGGAACUGAGACACGGUCCAGACUCCUACGGGAGGCAGCAGUGGGGAAUUUUGGACAAUGGACGCAAGUCUGAUCCAGCCAUUCCGCGUGCAGGAUGAAGGCCCUCGGGUUGUAAACUGCUUUUGUACGGAACGAAAAGGUCUCUCUUAAUACGGGGGGCUCAUGACGGUACCGUAAGAAUAAGCACCGGCUAACUACGUGCCAGCAGCCGCCGUAA
rnacentral:rRNA from 1 species